CAUCAACAAGCAAGCAUCCUGGCUAAAACAGCCCCACAGGUAAUUUGCUGGUUUACGGCUCAGAUGUCAAUCACGAAUGUGACCGGGUUCCAGUGUCCAAUAGAAAAGUAUUGACAGGGGCGCCUGGGUGGCUCAGUGGGUUAAGCGUCUGCCUUCAGCUCAGGUCAUGAUCUUGAAAGGACAUAUUUGAAGUCGUUUGGUUGCAAGAAAACAUACGUGGAGGAACAUAACUGAAAAUCCCCUUAAGCAAAGUUUGGGCGCCCCAAAUACUUUAAGGAAGGGGCCCACUUGGAAAAAUGCUAACCACAGCUUCGCCUUCUCGCUUCUGUGCACGCCUGCUUGCGAAAGAUAAACAGAUAAAUCGAGCUCCUGGGUGGAGGGGUGCCUAAUUGCAUCCCACCCAGAGCUAUCACCCCCCCCCCGGCAUGUUACCCUCCCACCCUCCACCCAGGAUGACGCACAGAGAGACCCUCCGAAAGACCACCACCCUGCAUCUUCUGGAGCUCUCUGAUAGUCCCUCGCGCCAAAAUUUCCUAUUGGACAGUUUGUACUGGCCAACUGGACUCUUGAUUGGGUAGAAACUGCAAACACCCCAAUGACUGUCUCCUGAGGGUCACGCCCACAAGCCCCCAUAAAAACCUAACCCUUUCAUAGCUCGAGGCUCUUCUCCGCUGCCCCUGCGUGGGUUAUGAGAUGAGCCCCAGCGCACUGGUCCUGCAAUAAAGCCUCGUGUGAUUGCAUCAAGAACUGUCUCUCUCGACUUCAUGGGGUUGAGUUGCCGCGUCCUCUAAGCAAAGUGUCAACAUCGAGGCAGCCGAGCUCCCAGAGAAAGAUCACUCUCCAUGUUUCAAGGACUUGUCAGUGGGCUGUAGGCGAGCAGGCAGUGGCUGUGCUGUAACAGGUGCCUGGAAACCAGCAGAGGGGGAGUCAAGCCCCUUUAGCCGGAAAAUUAGCGACGUGCCCUGCCACAUUCCACAAACGAGGCCACAAGGAGCAGGAUCAGAGCAGACAGGCCCAAGACCAAGAGGGUCAGAGACCCCAACCAAGUAAGGGAGAAAAGCACAAAACGCUGCUCCGAAAGGGUUAAAGUUGUCCCAACUUUGGAGGCUAGGGCCACAGAGACUGGAAAAGGAGCUUUGGCCACUGAGAAUGACCUGCGCCCCUGCUUUACACACGCCGUAAUGUAUGUCCCUAUGAAGGUCAAGGCGUUAAUGAUUUCUUCGGAGUCUUCCACACAAUACACAGAUCUACGCAGGCUCCAGGUGAGGUCGUCAUAAUCGUCUUUCAAGACCACUGAUGUCAGGACCCUUGGCUACCGGGCAGAAGUGACUUACAGGGGACAUCUGAGUGCUUGUCCUUGUUCGACCAGUUCCUGGAUGCCUGAGGACACGUGCACCAGACCACCAUUCUCAAUGAAAACCAGAUCCCAAGUGAAAAUGAGACUCAUGCUUCCCAACACUCUGCAUCUCCCUAUAUAGCCUCAAUAAAUUCUGGUCUCACUUCCUGCUGGCUCCCA
rnacentral:lncRNA from 1 species